GGAUUCGCCAGAGGUCACCAAGUACCGAGGUUUGGUCUCGGCACAGCCGCAUCGGCAGGAGCUGAUAAGAGAUCUGUUUCAAGUUGUGCAGGAUCCUCAGAGAGGUUCUAUGAACAAAGGGAUGAUCCGGUAAAGAACAACUGAUUGCAUUCAGGCAAGCAACGGGACAGAAGCCACAUCGCAUCAUAUUCUAUAGGGAUGGGGUGAGUGAAGGCCAGUUCAAUCAAGUUUUGCUUUAUGAGUUGGAUGCAAUUAGGAAGG